GCGGACACGACUUUGAAUUCCAAGCCUCAGAUAUUCGACACAGAGCGUGUAAGUGGCAGAUAGACAGCCACUCAGACAAAUGGUUGGGGAAGUCCUACGAGGCCAUUUGGCGAGUGGCAAAGUCACAGUGAGUCAGUCAAUGGUGUAUGAUUGCUGUUUUCCCUGCAGUCUGCAAAGCUGUCACCGGACUAAUGCACACUAGUGGAAGAUGUAAUCUAUAGUAAAUACAGUUGGCUCCAUAGAGCAGCCCUCUCUGAAGAGUACAGAUUAUCCCCAUGUUUGGCCGAUUUGCUGAUCUGGUAAAUGGUAAAUGGCCUGUAUUUAUAUAGCGCUUUACUAGAUCUUUAUAUAGAUCUGAUGACAAGCCAUGGAUCCUGCAUUUCGCAUGUGGGUGUGGUGGUGAUAUUUUCUUCUGAGAGGGGCACUUCUUUGGUAUUUCCUCAUUUGAUCAAAAAUGCCAGACUCUUGGAUGUGGAAAAAAGUCCCAGAAGGUCAAAUCAUUAGCAUUAAUAAUCUUCAUCUACUGAACUUUACGUUAUGUUAUUAAGCUUUUUCAGACCUCCAUUCCUAAUCGGGGAUCAUCUCACAGUUACUAAUCUUUUUUUUUUUUUUUCUGUAAAGGAAUUCCACAGCCAAGUAGCUCAUAAAUAAUUCUCAUUUUGCUCUACCUUUUCUACCUUUUGCUUAUUUUCCUCACUCCUCUCAUUAUUUGCAAAAUAUCUGUUCUGUUUCUCAGGCCAUGCCACCUUUCCCUUCCCUGUCUUUCCAUCUGUCUGUCACUUUAACUGUGCUGCUUUUCUUUAUUAUAACUUUUGCAUUCACUUGUCUGCCUGUAUUGUCUUUCGAGGCUGACAUGUCUCAAAGCGAAACAGACAUUGUUAAACUGAACAGUCAUGUCAGUGACAUCAAUUGUGUUUGUGCAUUUGCUGAAAAUGGCCCUGUGCUUGAAAUGACACAUGCUGAGAUGCCAAGUGAAUUUACAAUUUAGGUGUUUUUUCCUUUUUCAUGAGCAUCUGUCUUCCACCUUUCCAGCCAUUAAAUCUAUAUCCCCUGGACAUCUUCUUCUAUCACUCACUGUCUCUAUCAGUCUUUCGGUCUGUGACUCUUCCUCUCAUUCUCAGCGUUUUCCAAUCUUUCAAAAUCUACCCUCCCACCCAUACUUUUUUGCACACAUAUACUCACACACGCACCACCUCCAUUGCUAUUCCUGAGAGGAGCAGACUGGUCUGGCAGUGGGUUGGUUUAUGUCCAUGAACUCAGUGACACCCUUGCUGCCGCUGCAUUACACCAGGCUGGCAUCACCACAGCAAAGUAGCCGUACUGCAGUAAAGGAGGAAGACAAUGUGUACAUCCACACAAUGUAUGUGUAC
ensembl:lncRNA